GAUGAACGCUAGCUAUAGGCUUAACACAUGCAAGUCGAGGGGAAACGGCAAAGAGUGCUUGCACACUUUGGACGUCGACCGGCGCACGGGUGAGUAACGCGUAUCCAACCUGCCCUUUACUUGGGGAUAACCCGUUGAAAGACGGACUAAUACCCAAUGAUAUUCAUUGAUGACAUCUGAUUUGAAUUAAAGAUUUAUCGGUAUAGGAUGGGGAUGCGUCUGAUUAGCUUGUUGGUGAGGUAACGGCUCACCAAGGCAACGAUCAGUAGGGGUUCUGAGAGGAAGGUCCCCCACAUUGGAACUGAGACACGGUCCAAACUCCUACGGGAGGCAGCAGUGAGGAAUAUUGGUCAAUGGACGAGAGUCUGAACCAGCCAAGUAGCGUGCAGGAUGACGGCCCUAUGGGUUGUAAACUGCUUUUGUUUGGGAAUAAUCGACAUUACGUGUAAUGUUUUGCAUGUACCAUUCGAAUAAGGACCGGCUAAUUCCGUGCCAGCAGCCGCGGUAAUACGGAAGGUCCAGGCGUUAUCCGGAUUUAUUGGGUUUAAAGGGAGUGUAGGCGGUUGGUUAAGCGUGUUGUGAAAUGUAGAUGCUCAACAUCUGACUUGCAGCGCGAACUGGCUGACUUGAGUACACACAACGUAGGCGGAAUUCAUGGUGUAGCGGUGAAAUGCUUAGAUAUCAUGAAGAACUCCGAUUGCGAAGGCAGCUUACGGGAGUGUUACUGACGCUUAAGCUCGAAGGUGCGGGUAUCGAACAGGAUUAGAUACCCUGGUAGUCCACGCCGUAAACUAUGAUUACUCAGAGUAUGCGAUAUACAGUAUGCUCUCAAGCGAAAGCAUUAAGUAAUCCACCUGGGGAGUACGUCGGCAACGAUGAAACUCAAAGGAAUUGACGGGGGCCCGCACAAGCGGAGGAACAUGUGGUUUAAUUCGAUGAUACGCGAGGAACCUUACCUGGGAUUGAAAUGUAUAGGCUGGCAGCUGGAAACAGCUGCUGUUCACUUCGGUGACUUAUAUGUAGGUGCUGCAUGGUUGUCGUCAGCUCGUGCCGUGAGGUGUCGGCUUAAGUGCCAUAACGAGCGCAACCCUUAUCGUUAGUUGCUAACAGGUUAAGCUGAGGACUCUGGCGAGACUGCCGUCGUAAGGCGAGAGGAAGGUGGGGAUGACGUCAAAUCAGCACGGCCCUUAUAUCCAGGGCGACACACGUGUUACAAUGGUGAGGACAAAGGGUAGCUACCUGGUGACAGGAUGCCAAUCUCCAAACCUCAUCUCAGUUCGGAUCGAAGUCUGCAACUCGACUUCGUGAAGCUGGAUUCGCUAGUAAUCGCGCAUCAGCCAUGGCGCGGUGAAUACGUUCCCGGGCCU
rnacentral:rRNA from 1 species